AUACUUAGCUGGCAGGGGAGAUGUCGUGAUCAGGCAGGUGGUUUUCCCAGGUGAGGCUCACCCAUUGCACUUGGGAGGGGCUGACCCCUGUGAAUUCCCCAAAUGUGGGAAACUCGACUGCAUAAUUUGUGGUAGUGGCGGACUGUGUUCGCACUCUCCCCUG
ensembl:snRNA U1 U1 spliceosomal RNA